CCCCUCUCAGGGUCACACCUGAAGAGUUCCCAUUACUCUACCAGUCUCGACUACGGGAGGGAGAGUCAUGCAGAGGCCUGUCCAUUCCAUUUCUAGCUUGGCCGGGGGCUAGCGAGUGGGAGGCAAUCUGCUACAAGU